CCAUUACUGCUUUAAAACAGAUUCUCUGAAAAGGCCUGUGUUUGGAAGAAGAAAUUCUGUCCCUUAACGCUGUUGAAUUUUCCUGGCAAACCCCAUUACUGGCUCUAAGCAAGGAGAAGUUGCUGAACAGGGAAAGACAGUGAAUUACAGGGUUUCGCAGGCUCAAAUGGAGAAAAGCACUGCAGGAGUCAUAAAGCAGUAGCUUCAGAAACCUCCUGUGCAAACAAACAACACCGCAACUCAUAGAUUUAGGAGCAGAAUUCACUUUGUCCUUCAGCACUGCUUCACUUAACUGCUUCACUGCUAUCAGGAAUGCUACAGAAAAGCCCUCUGGGACGGCAUAUUUUUAUAGAAUUGAGCCUGUGAUACUGGUACCUUCCCCCCACCUAAUCAUCCCUGUCAGCCUCUCUCAUUUAGUGCCUGGGCCCUGUGACCAAGUUCAUCUCUUAACUUCCAGUAGUUGACAGCUUAUUGCUUUCUUAAGAUAGCACCCUAGACAUAUAAGGUGGUACCUAACACACCUGACUGUACACACUUGAUUUUACUCCUUUGUUUUUCAAUUUAGAAACAGCUGACUCUAGAUGGGAUUUAUUAUAGGGUGAAAUACCUGAUUCAGCAGGUGUAGCAUCACAUGGUGCCUUCCUCAAUGGCUGAUGCUUCUUCCUGAACUCAUUUUGAAGGUUACAAAAGGGGUUAAGCGAAUUAGGAGACGUGAUCAACCACUGGCUUAUCCAUCCUAAAGCAUCACAGCACUGCUCGCUACCAAAAGGGCCUUCUAGAGCUCAGCAAUGGCAAUGGAGUACCAGGCUUCUUCCAAGGAGAGCAAAGGAUGGUGAGAGCACACAAAACAAGAGGCUGCUACAUGCAAGAAUCUGACCAGGAUGAGGAGGUAGAAGAUGUGAGUCAGAUGUGCAGCAGGCUGGGUUAUUGGAAGGCAAUAACUUUCAAAGGGCAGAAGAGCUUUGCCUAUCUGGUGAAUUUAAUCAGAACAGAUGCAACUGAAAUUGCAGGGCUCUUAUGAGGACAAGCCGACAGCAGCUGCAUGUUGGGAAGCAGGAGAGCAGCACAUCAGAACUGAACCAGGAUUCCCCUUCUGCAGGGGCUCUGUGGGGCUUAGACACUAAAUGAGGCCAAAACGCCAUGGCAGGGAAGCUGUGAUAUACAUCUGACUGAAAGAUGCUGCCAAGAGGUGUUUUGGCAGGCUGAAGAACAUGGGCAUUGG